rnacentral:tRNA from 1 species
CGGGGAGUGGCUCAGUCUGGUAGAGCACUGCGUUCGGGACGCAGGGGUCGGAGGUUCAAAUCCUCUCUUCCCGACCA